rnacentral:rRNA from 1 species
UACGGAGGGAGCUAGCGUUGUUCGGAAUUACUGGGCGUAAAGCGCGCGUAGGCGGCUUUGUAAGUUAGAGGUGAAAGCCCGGGGCUCAACCCCGGAAUUGCCUUUAAGACUGCAUCGCUUGAAUCCGGGAGAGGUGAGUGGAAUUCCGAGUGUAGAGGUGAAAUUCGUAGAUAUUCGGAGGAACACCGAUGGCGAAGGCGGGAUCCUGGGCCAGUACUGACGCUGAGGAGCGAAAGCGUGGGGAGCAAACAGG